UACAGAGGUCUCAAGCGUUGUUCGGAUUCAUUGGGCGUAAAGGGUGCGUAGGCGGCGCGGUAAGUCGGGUGUGAAAUCUCGGAGCUUAACUCCGAAACUGCAUUCGAUACUGCCGUGCUUGAGGACUGGAGAGGAGACUGGAAUUUACGGUGUAGCGGUGAAAUGCGUAGAUAUCGUAAGGAAGCCCAGUGGCGAAGGCGGGUCUCUGGACAGUUCCUGACACUGAGCCACGAAGGCCAGGGGAGCAAACGGG
rnacentral:rRNA from 1 species